rnacentral:rRNA from 1 species
AGAAUCAACGCUGGCGGCGUGCCUAACACAUGCAAGUCGAACGAGAAAGUGGGAGCAAUCCCACGAGUAAAGUGGCGCACGGGUGAGUAACACGUGACUAACCUACCCUUGAGUGGGGGGAUAACCUAGGGAAACCUGGGCUAAUACCGCAUAAUACCUACGGGUCAAAGGAGCAAUUCGCUUAAGGAGGGGGUCGCGGCAGAUUAGUUAGUUGGCGGGGUAAUGGCCCACCAAGACAGUGAUCUGUAUCCGGCCUGAGAGGGCGCACGGACACACUGGAACUGAAACACGGUCCAGACUCCUACGGGAGGCAGCAGUGGGGAAUUUUGCGCAAUGGGGGAAACCCUGACGCAGCAACGCCGCGUGGAGGAUGAAGCCCCUUGGGGCGUAAACUCCUUUCGAUCGGGAAGAUAAUGACGGUACCGGAAGAAGAAGCCCGGCUAACUUCGUGCCAGCAGCCGC